rnacentral:rRNA from 1 species
AACGCGAAGAACCUUACCAAGGCUUGACAUAUACGAGAACGGGCUAGAAAUAGUCAACUCUUUGGACACUCGUAAACAGGUGGUGCAUGGUUGUCGUCAGCUCGUGUCGUGAGAUGUUGGGUUAAGUCCCGCAACGAGCGCAACCCUCGUUCUAUGUUGCCAGCACGUCAUGGUGGGAACUCAUGGAAUACUGCCGGGGUCAACUCGGAGGAAGGUGAGGAUGACAUCAAAUCAUCAUGCCCCUUAUGUCUUGGGCUGCACACGUGCUACAAUGGAUGGUACAACGAGCAGCAAGACCGCGAGGUGGAGCGAAUCCCAAAAAGCCGGUGUCAGUUCGGAUUGCAGGCUGCAACUCGCCUCAUGAAGUCGGAGUCGCUAGUAAUCGCAGAUCAGCAACGCCGCGGUGAAUACGUUCCCGGGUCUUGUACACACGC